AUGGGUGUUUUGUAAUAAAAAUUAAAAAAAAAAAAAAAUCUGUUCUUAUCAGUUUAAUAUCUGAUACGCCCUCUACCCAGGACCAUAUAUUAAUCUGAUUUUUUGGAACAGGGAGACGGAAGAGGGGCUUGCCCGUCCGUCUUCCACGAUCGACCUUCGUAUUGCAGCCACCGAACGUGCACAUCCCUU